GACGAACGCUGGCGGCGUGCUUAACACAUGCAAGUCGAACGGAAAGGCCUGCUUUCCCUUGUGGAUUGCGGGUACUCGAGUGGCGAACGGGUGAGUAACACGUGAGUGAUCUGCCCCCAACUUGGGUAUAAGCCUGGGAAACUGGGUCUAAUUCCCGAUAGGACUGCAGGGUGGUGCCUGUGGUGGAAAACGAUUUUCUAGUGGUUGGGGAUGAGCUCGCGGCCUAUCAGCUUGUUGGUGGGGUAAUGGCCUACCAAGGCGGCGACGGGUAGCCGGCCGGGGAGGGUGGACGGCGACAGUGGGACUGAGAUACGGCCCAGACUCCUGCGGGAGGCAGCAGUGGGGAAUAUUGCACAAUGGGCGGAAGCCUGAUGCAGCGACGGCGCGUGGGGGAUGACGGCCUUCGGGUUGUAAACUCCUUUCGACCGCGAGGAAGCCACCUGGUUGGAAGGGUGGUGACGGUAGUGGUAGAAGAAGCACCGGCUAACUACGUG
rnacentral:rRNA from 1 species